CAGAUUAAGACGGAGGCACAAUAGCCACAUGCCUGGAUCCCAGUCAUGUGAUUAUGUCAAUCUCAGCUGCCAUUUACAAAUAAAUGUUUCUACCUCACAUGGCUGGAAAGAAAAGCUUGAGAAUAUCCAUUGAAUAGAACUGAGGCAGUGAUGUCUGCCCAUGUCUGCACCCAGCCUCCAGCAGGGGGAGAAGCAGCAUCCACCCCAAGAGAAGUAACUCUUUAUUCUCCACCCGGCCCUUGCUGUUCCUGGUGUGUGCCCACCCACCUUCCCAGGACUUCAACAGGGAGGUGAAUGGAUGAAAGCAAGGACUAGAAUGAAGGAGUAGCUCAUGGCUUAAAGCUAAUUCAAGUGGGAAUCCUGUUUAUUAUUCGGUCUUAUCAAUGCAAGGGGCCCUUUAUCCAUUUACUGGCUUGUUAUUAUAUCAGCCAACUCCAAAGAGAAGAAUCAAGAGGAAGGUAGCAGAUGCACACAGAGUCUAAGACUUACACCCUCCUGUACUCUCUGCUCCUAUUCAAGACAGAGCACAGCAGCCUUGCAUGUCCUGGUGCACAUCGUCCAAGGCCUAAGUGGAUGAAAAAUUAUGACCCCCACUAGCCAAGGACCAUUCAUCUAACUAACUCCUAAUUAAGUGAACAAUCAUCCUGCAAGGCAAUUUUGCAACUUGAAGCCAGUCAAUACUACUGUUCAUGCCACAGCCAGGUGAUUGGCAGCUUGGGAUUCACACUGGAUACAGAAUGCCAGCCUCUUGUGUUGGUCUCCAGUCUUCUCAUUCAGCCAGAUUAAUUAAAUAAUCAGUCCAUGUGGGAUGCAAAACUAUUUGAAGAAGUCAAAAUACUCCUCUCACUUUUCAAAUUUUGUUCUCCUGUUAUGAUUAUUUGUAUUGCAGUAGCCCCUAUGUAUCUAGAUAUGCAGAUAUGCUGAUCACCUUACAAUUUUUCAUGGAUUUUAACUUCACAAUACCUCGAUGAGAUAGGGAAAUAUUACCCCCAUUUUACAGAUGGGAAACUGAGGCACAAGGUAGCUUAAAUGAUCUGCCCAAAGUCUCACAGAAAGUUGGUAACUGAGCUUGAAAUUAAGCCAGGGUCUCUUGAGUCCCAGUGUAGUGCCCUAUGCACUACAUCAUCCUUUGUACCCCAGCAGCCCCCAACCAAUAGCAUGGCCCCAUUGUGCCAGGUGUUCCACAAAUACCUAGUGAGAGACACUCCCUGCCCUGAAAAUCUUACACUGGAAUUAGACCAGACAGAGAGAGAUGGAGAAAAGGACAGAAUUUUCAAGCAGAAAACUGGCAAAUGAGGCACACAGAGGUAAAGUGACUUGCCCAGCGU